UCAUUAUAUACGACGAUGUAUAUAUAUACAUCUAUACGUCUAUACGUAUAGAUGUAUGCAGGUCUGGACCUGAGAUUUUAAGGUCUGAGUCGAACUCUUAGAGUUGGACCCCCUAAUUUUUUUAUAUAUAUAUAUAUAUAAAAUAGCAUAUAACAUCCAAAAAUAUAUAGGAUUUUUAUGCAAAAUACUUAUUAUGCAAAUAGGAUUCCAAAACCUUAAUGGUUUAGUAAUCCUAAUUGUAUUAUAAAUCCUAUCCAUACAACAAUAUCUUACAUAAUCGUGUUUGGCUGCUUCUAUUUAAUUUUUUUAAUUUUUUUAUGGGUAUAAAUUUAAAGUAGUAAACAGUAAUUGAUGGUUUGGGCCCCUCAUCAUGUGUAAUUGUCUUUGUUUUAGGAUGGUUGUCUUUAAUUCAUGUCAGAUUGCACAGCUAAAAAACUAUUAAUUUUUUUUGUUGGAUAACUAUAAAAAAAUAUUUUGGGGCCCCUUAGAGUUUUGGGCCCUGAGUCCCAAGCCUCUUGUGCCUCUAUUCAAAUCCGGGCUUGGAUGUAUGAUGAAACAGUGUUGUUGUUUGUGGUUGAAGUUUUAGUGAUGUCAUUUUCAUUGUUGAUGUAUAAUGUUGGAUGAAUAACCUUUUAGGAAAUUAUAUGCAUAGUCACGUCAUUUAAUGAAAUAAUCUUAUUCGAUUGUGUGUAUGUCGUAAGGCGAGAUGAGUUUUCAAAAUGUGUUCAUCGUGCAUUGUUCUUAACUGAGUUUGAGCUUUAACCGGAGCUUAACGGGGACAAGGUGGCUUGCCCUACAUGUCCUUCAUGCAAUAUAUUUCGAUAUGAUCUGGAAACUCUUUGUGUAAUUAGCUAGAGGCUUCUCGUUAUAAUUCGAACUUUGAAGGUAGUAUAUGAAUUAAUUUGUUGGGGCUAGAUCAAAUACAUGAUGUAUGACAAGACCACAACAUGCACUUACUGAAAACACAUGGAAGGAGGAAAAUUCAGAUCUAAACUUUCACAUACAUGAACGUGAAAUCAUAGAUGUUUCUUCUGACCUUUACAUUUAUUAAUUUUUGUUUGCUGUUUUGACGAGUCGAUCAGAUUCAUUACUACAAUACACCCUGUGCAGAUAGCUAGCUCUAAGCUUUUGAAUGUGGUUGGUAUGAUUUGAUGGUACAAUAUUCCCGGCGAGACCAUAAUCUUUGUUCCAGAUGGAUUCGAUAAAAGGCGACUGGUCCCUUCUAUUUCAAUGAUAUGUUUCAGUAUCGAGCUAUAUAUAUAUGGAUCCCAUGCCAUUCUCUUGUUAAGGAGAAGUCUUGUACUACAAUGACUGAUUGAUAUAUUGACCUGAAUUAGUUAUAUUAUGGGGGCCUCUCAUAACCAGGUAAGACGAGACAACAGUCACUACUAGCAAAAUGAAGCUUCACACAUAUGUAAAUCAGUGUGAAAUAUAGAUAUCUCACACAGACAUCCGUGUGAGAAAGCCAUUAGUCACGCUACACUCACGAAUUGCCUAUCCGUGCUGUUUGCAGGGGGGCUAAUGCUCAUUACACACGGAUAAAAAAGUCCGUGUGAGAUGUUAACGUGGGUCCCAUUACAUAUCCACUGACAUAAUUGAUAUCAAUGUAAUAUAAUCCGUGUGAACAACUUCUUAACUCACACGGAUAUCUGUGAGAAAUACCCUAAACCAUUCUCUAACCCAUUUCUGUGCGGAAGACAUUUGACACUGAUUUCAGUGUGGAAAAGUGAUGGGAAUUUAAAAAAAAUUAUUCUGCAAAAUAUUUAAGAAAUUCAUCUACAAUUAAUUUUUUACUGAACAUUUCAAC
rnacentral:lncRNA from 1 species